ensembl:rRNA 5S_rRNA 5S ribosomal RNA
UUCAGCAGCCAUAUCACCCUGUAGCCCAAGACUGGGUGCCCACUGAAGUUAAGCAGGGUUAAGCUGGUCAGUACCUGGAUGGGAGACCUCCUGGGAAAACUAGGUUGCUGCUGGAC